rnacentral:tRNA from 1 species
UCAUUGGUGGUUUAGCAGUGGAAUUCUCACCUUCUAUGUGAGAAACCUGGGUUUGAUUCCCAGCCAAUACA